rnacentral:rRNA from 1 species
UACAGAGGUCCCAAGCGUUGUUCGGAUUCAUUGGGCGUAAAGGGUGCGUAGGCGGCGCGGUAAGUCGGGUGUGAAAUCUCGGAGCUUAACUCCGAAACUGCAUUCGAUACUGCCGUGCUUGAGGACUGGAGAGGAGACUGGAAUUUACGGUGUAGCGGUGAAAUGCGUAGAUAUCGUAAGGAAGACCAGUGGCGAAGGCGGGUCUCUGGACAGUUCCUGACGUGAGGCACGAAGGUCAGGGGAGCAAACGGG